rnacentral:rRNA from 1 species
CGCGUAGGAAUCUACCCAGUAGCGGGGGAUAGCCCGAGGAAACUCGGAUUAAUACCGCAUACGCCCUAAGGGGGAAAGCAGGGGAUCUUCGGACCUUGCACUAUUGGAUGAGCCUGCGUCGGAUUAGCUAGUUGGUGGGGUAAAGGCCUACCAAGGCGACGAUCCGUAGCUGGUCUGAGAGGAUGACCAGCCACACUGGAACUGAGACACGGUCCAGACUCCUACGGGAGGCAGCAGUGGGGAAUAUUGCACAAUGGGCGCAAGCCUGAUGCAGCCAUGCCGCGUGUGUGAAGAAGGCUU